AUUUUGAUUAAUUCAGUAUUAGACUUCGCUAAAGUUUGCUAUUUUUUUGUGUGUUCCAAAAUGUGUAUUUGAAAAGUUACUUAUUAGUUUUAUAAUGGUUUGGGACUACUGUUCAGUUAAUUUAAACAGUGAUUCAACGGGAAGUUUUUAUGCUGGGGAUAUAGUGACGGGCUCGGUGUAUUUAAAAUUUAAACAGAGAAAAAAUAUUGAACGUAUUGAGUUUAUAGUCGUGGGUACAAGCAAGGCACAAUGGACACGACCCCGACCAACAAUGCCACAUAUAAAAAUAUACUCAGAAAAGAAAAAGCUGCUACAUAUUACUGAGGAUCUCUUCGAAAAUAUUCAAGGUAAAACCGUAGAACCAGGAGUAUUAACUUACCCUUUCCAUUUCGCUCUGCCCAAUGAUUUGCCAUCAACCUUCGAAAGUGGUUUUGCUAAAGUUCAUUACUGUAUUAAAAUCAAAAGCAAAGGGGUUUGCAAACGUAAAAAAGUUACUCCAUUUGUAGUUUUUGGGAAUAUUAAUCUAAAUCAUAUCGAAGAAUAUUUGGAAACUUCAAAAUAUACAUUUCAUAAAACUUGUUGGAAUUCCGAAACUGUAUCAUUUAUUGUUAAAACUUAUACAGCAUUCGCUUCUAAGCAAACUGUACCCCUCGAAAUAACAGUGAAGAAUGAAACGAAAAUCAAAAUAUUGAAACUGACAGUUUUUUUAAUUCAGAAGCUUCGGUAUUCCAUUAGAGAAGGAUAUGCUGACGAGGAGAAAAAAAUAAGUAAGGUGGAGCAUGAUAAAUUCCAGAAUACAAAAGAAGAAUCAUUUGCUCUUAGUAUUGAAAUACCUCACAUUUGUCCUACGAGUUUACAUAUUCCAGAGCCUAUGAUAAAUAUAUCGUAUGCAUUAAGAGUAAGUGUCCUAAUAUUCCUGCUAAAUUUAUUUAGAUUGAAAUAAAAUUUCCAUUCCAUUCCACUUUUCACGAAGACAUACCGGUGACAGUUGCAACUGUACCAGUUCUUCAUUAUGAUUUUAAUGAAAACAACGAAUAAAAAUUUUAAUUAACAUCA